rnacentral:rRNA from 1 species
UACAGAGGUGGCAAGCGUUGUUCGGAAUUACUGGGCGUAAAGGGCGCGUAGGCGGUUCGUUAAGUCCUGUGUGAAAUCCCCCGGCUCAACUGGGGAACUGCACAGGAAACUAGCGGGCUUGAGUCCGGAAGAGGAGAGUGGAAUUCCUGGUGUAGCGGUGAAAUGCGCAGAUAUCAGGAAGAACACCCGUGGCGAAGGCGGCUCUCUGGGACGGUACUGACGCUGAGACGCGAAAGCGUGGGGAGCGAACAGG